GAGCAAGAGCGUCUAUAAAAGAUGGCGCAAAUUGCAUUGAAGGUUGGCGAUAGAAAAUAAAAUCUGAGCGAUUCUCCGUGCCUAUCAAAUCUCUUUCGUUUUGAUUAUGGCCUCGAACAAGUCGCUACAUU